AGGGAAACUGCACAAUCAAGCUUCCUGAGUCUAAGCAGGUGGACCGGCUGCCCUUGGGUUUUGGAACUGGACUGGAGCUGUCAUUCCACUUACUCAGACCGACGUGACCUUCUUUCCACACCUGAGGCUGUUUUCUAUGAGCCAAAUAUGGAUAUGCCAGGUGCAGAAAAGAAGUUCUUUACUGUGGAGAAUAAUUUGGAGUAAUAUCUGCUCAUAAACAGAGUCGUUUCCUCUGAAAGUGAUGCAUUAGCAGCUGGGCUGGCCACUCGGCACUGUUCUUUCAGGCAGAACAACAGAAGGUCUGAAUCACCUUCCGGAAGCACCUUGUGGCAAUUUGCUAAUUAUUUUUAUGAGGCCAGAUCAGCAAUAAAGGUGGCCUUCCUUCUUCGUUCUUUUUCCUAGCCAUGUGAUGGGAGAGACCAUUUCUCAAGCCUGCAUAUGAGAGCCCAGCCUGCCAGGUUGUUGGAAUGAAGACAAACCUAAGAAGAGGAUUUUGUGUGCAGAGAAGAGGAUGGUAGAGAGAGUCAUUGGAACUGGAAUUUUGUCCCCCUCAUCAUUAUGACAGUUCCUAGAGUUUAGCAUUGGAUUUUGUCUUUUUUCAACUAAAAAUGAGAUCUUUGGAGCCGACUGUCUCUUAAGAAAGAAUAUCGCAGGAAUAUAGUGCUAUAUUUAUACUGAGAGAAGAAACCAAGGAAGGUAAGGGUGCACGUACCCCAGCAGGAGAGGAGAAGAGAGGGAGUGGAGAAGGAGCCUGACCUCCCACAAGAGGAGGGAAGCUUCCGCUGGGUGUCAUUUUGCAGUAGCUAUUUUGGAAGAUGGAGGCUUCUGGGACAACUUCAUGAGACUCUCCCCAAAGGGGAAAUUGGCUGAUACUUUAAAUGAAGAAGUUUUUCUAUGGGAGGGAAAGACCUUCACAUGGAAGUCAAGGAGAGGUUCCUAUGCUGGUUGUACUUGCACUCGAAGGUAAUUGUGAAAGUGGAAAAAAUAAAAAAUGCUGGCUGACACAACCUUCAUCACAGGCCUUGCUCCACCUCAAAAUAACUUCACGCAUGAUGCUUUCAGGGAUUUAUAACUCACCCCUACUUUGCUCCAGAUACCCCCUCAAAAGGGUGUGAGAAUCGUUCAUUCUUUUCUAUUCCCGACGAAAUGGUACCUUGGUGGUGGCAUGACUUCUUCGGGAAGGCAAGUGGGACUGUUAAGAGCCAUGAAAAACAUAGGUGCAUGGGAAAGACAGAAAUCAUGCUUCUAAUAUGACAAUGUGGGUUGUGUGGAAUAGACGGAAAGUCCCUGUUCUGCCAUCCCCAGCUCUCUUCCCUUCUUUCAAAGGAGAACUAUGGGGUUGGAAAAGAGGCAUUUUGGCAUGGUGACAACUUUUCUGGAGGAGUUGAUCAAGAUCAUUCUUAGUCAAUAUGGAGGAGGGCUUUACAAAGAGCACCAGUCUAGGGCAAGGAGAGUGAGCAGCUGACAUGGUCGUGACAACAGCCCUGAUUCUCACUGACCUGAGGGUUCUCCUGGGUCACAGACUUCCAGGUAAAACCAGAAAAUUACUGCACAAACCAAGAUAAAUUGGCCACCCAACACUAAGACCAAGGAGACAUUUCUUAAAAAGAAUACAGGACAUAUCAUGUGAAUAGAAAAAUUCUUUUUAUCAUUGGCAACAAGGCUCUUUUCUCCAGGAAAAACUAAUUGCUAUGACAACAUAUGUUUGCUCUUAAUUACCUUGCCACAGCCAAAGCUGAUUGGGAGACUAGCCUAGAUUUGGAGUUCUCCAACUUAUGAGAACACCUUCUGGGGUUUUCUACUCUAAAGCUAGUAGAAAUCCAGACAAAGAAAAUCUCCAGAAACACUUGUGAAAGACUUAUAAUUUCAAAAUAGCAAUGUAAAAUUAAUAGAAACAGUAUAAUUAUCAAAAGAGUUUGCAAUUCCUUUUCAGUUGUCAUUUUUGUCUUUGGGAAGAUAUUGAACAUUCGUUCUAAAAGUCAGUGGAAUAAUUCUUUUCUCUGAAUGGGUUGCCAUUAAUUUCAAACACAAUUUCACUUUCUUCAUUUUUUUUUUUUGGUUAUGAAAUAAAGUUUGUUGCUCACACAGUAAAGGACUGUCA